rnacentral:tRNA from 10 species
AGCGGUAGUUCAGUUGGUUAGAAUACCGGCCUGUCACGCCGGGGGUCGCGGGUUCGAGCCCCGUCCGCUG